GACGAACGCUGGCGGCGUGCUUAACACAUGCAAGUCGAACGGUAAGGCCCUUCGGGGUACACGAGUGGCGAACGGGUGAGUAACACGUGGGUGAUCUGCCCUGCACUUCGGGAUAAGCCUGGGAAACUGGGUCUAAUACCGGAUAGGACCACUGCCUGCAUGGGUGGUGGUGGAAAGCUUUUGCGGUGUGGGAUGGGCCCGCGGCCUAUCAGCUUGUUGGUGGGGUGAUGGCCUACCAAGGCGACGACGGGUAGCCGGCCUGAGAGGGUGACCGGCCACACUGGGACGGAGAUACGGCCCAGACUCCUACGGGAGGCAGCAGUGGGGAAUAUUGCACAAUGGGCGCAAGCCUGAUGCAGCGACGCCGCGUGAGGGAUGACGGCCUUCGGGUUGUAAACCUCUUUCAGCACCGACGAAGCGCAAGUGACGGUAGGUGCAGAAGAAGGACCGGCCAACUACGUGUCAGCCGCCGCGGUAA
rnacentral:rRNA from 1 species